GAUGAACGCUGGCGGCGUGCCUAAUACAUGCAAGUCGAACGCACAGCGAAAGGUGCUUGCACCUUUCAAGUGAGUGGCGAACGGGUGAGUAACACGUGGACAACCUGCCUCAAGGCUGGGGAUAACAUUCGGAAACAGAUGCUAAUACCGAAUAAAACUCAGUGUCGCAUGACACAAAGUUAAAAGGCGCUUUGGCGUCACCUAGAUAUGGAUCCGCGGUGCAUUAGUUAGUUGGUGGGGUAAAGGCCUACAAAGACAAUGGUACAUAGCCGAGUUGAGAGACUGAUCGGCCACAUGGGGACUGAGACACGGCCCAAACUCCUACGGGAGGCUGCAGUGGGGAAUCUUCCACAAUGGGCGAAAGCCUGAUGGAGCAACGCCGCGUGUGUGAUGAAGGCUUUCGGGUCGUAAAGCACUGUUGUAUGGGAAGGACAGCUAGAAUAGGGAAUGAUUUUAGUUUGACGGUACCAUACCAGAAAGGGACGGCUAAAUACGUGCCAGCAGCCGCAGUAA
rnacentral:rRNA from 1 species